GCGCCCGUAGCUCAAUGGAUAGAGCGUCUGGCUUCGAACCAGCAGGCUGGAGGUUCGAGUCCUCUCGGGCGCA
rnacentral:tRNA from 3 species